AACCUACGGGGGGCAGCAGUCGGGAAUAUUGCGCAAUGGAGGAAACUCUGACGCAGUGACGCCGCGUGCAGGAAGAAGGUUUUCGGAUUGUAAACUGCUUUAGACAGGGAAGAAAAAAGACAGUACCUGUAGAAUAAGCUCCGGCUAACUACGUGCCAGCAGCCGCGGUAAUACGUAGGGAGCGAGCGUUAUCCGGAUUUAUUGGGUGUAAAGGGUGCGUAGACGGGAAAUUAAGUUAGUUGUGAAAUCCCUCGGCUCAACUGAGGAACUGCAACUAAAACUGAUUUUCUUGAGUGCAGGAGAGG
rnacentral:rRNA from 1 species